rnacentral:lncRNA from 1 species
UGACUGGUUUGCGGCUCCCGCUCCCAGGGUGGGGUCGGGGGCUGUGACAAAAAGGUCUUUUCUUUAAACCUCUGUCGACUAGUUCCAAACAUCUGUAGAUGUUUGGUCUUCAUCAUCAAUGCUUUGUCUUCAAUAGGGCUUUGGUCUUUGAACAGAUGUUCUUUCCUCCUCAACAGUGCUUUCCAGUUUUCAACAGUGCUUUGUGAUCUUCGAAUGGAUAAUCUGUUUAACAAAAAUUGUAGUGGUAGUGGUAGUGGUAAGUAGUGGUAGUAGUGGUAGUAAGUGGUAGUAAGUGGUAGUGGUAGUAGUAGUGGUCGUGGUAGCAGUAGUCGUGGUAGCAGUGGUCGUGGUCGUAGUGGUCGUGGUAGUAGCGGUAGUAGCGGUAGUAGCCACAGAAGCGGCAGAAGCCGCAGAAGCAGCAGCAGCAGCAGUAGUAGUAGUAUAAUUGUAUCGAAAAAAAGUUAAAUUGGUUAACGGGUCAAUCCGAACACGGCCUAAUUUUUAACGGGUCAAUCCAAAUACAAUCCGCUUUUCAAUACGGGUCAUUUUAGUCGACCCAAAACCUUUAUAUUUUCCUGUGGUGUUAAAAAUUGUUGGCU